rnacentral:rRNA from 1 species
AUUGAACGCUGGCGGCAUGCUUUACACAUGCAAGUCGAACGGCAACGCGGAGAAGCUUGCUUCUCUGUCGGCGAGUGGCGAACGGGUGAGUAUAGCAUCGGAACGUGCCAAGUAGUGGGGGAUAACCAAACGAAAGUUUGGCUAAUACCGCGUAAGCUCCAAGGAGGAAAGUAGGGGACCUAAAUAAGGCCUUACGCUAUUUGAUCGGCCGAUGUCGGAUUAGCUAGUUGGUGGGGUAAUGGCUCACCAAGGCAAUGAUCCGUAGCGGGUCUGAAAGGACGAUCCGCCACACUGGGACUGAGACACGGCCCAGACUCCUACGGGAGGCAGCAGUGGGGAAUUUUGGACAAUGGGGGAAACCCUGAUCCAGCCAUGCCGCGUGUAUGAAGAAGGCCUUAGGGUUGUAAAGUACUUUUGUUAGGGAAGAAAAGCUAGUUUUUAAUAAAAAUUAGUGAUGACGGUACCUAAAGAAUAAGCACCGGCUAACUACGUG